AAGUCGUAACAAGGUUUCCGUAGGUGAACCUGCGGAAGGAUCAUUAUUGAAUCAGGAGGCCUGGGUUGUAGCUGGCUCCCUCUGGGGUAACGUGCUCACCCAGUGUCUCUUCCAACAUACCCCUGUGCACCAGUGUGUGGGCAAGGGUGACACCAGUCACCUGUGCCCAUGCUUCUCAUACACUCCAUCGUAUGUCUCUGAAUGUGUAACCCGCGUAUAAUCGCAUCUAUUAUAACUUUCAACAACGGAUCUCUUGGCUCUC
rnacentral:misc_RNA from 1 species